GACGAACGCUGGCGGCGUGCUUAACACAUGCAAGUCGAACGGAAAGGCCCUGCUUUUGUGGGGUGCUCGAGUGGCGAACGGGUGAGUAACACGUGAGUAACCUGCCCUUGACUUUGGGAUAACUUCAGGAAACUGGGGCUAAUACCGGAUAGGAGCUCCUGCUGCAUGGUGGGGGUUGGAAAGUUUCGGCGGUUGGGGAUGGACUCGCGGCUUAUCAGCUUGUUGGUGGGGUAGUGGCUUACCAAGGCUUUGACGGGUAGCCGGCCUGAGAGGGUGACCGGCCACAUUGGGACUGAGAUACGGACCAGAAUCCUACGGGAGGCAGCAGGGGGGAAUAUUGCACAAUGGGCGGAAGCCUGAUGCAGCAACGCCGCGUGCGGGAUGACGGCCUUCGGGUUGUAAACCGCUUUCGCCUGUGACGAAGAGUGAGUGACGGUAAUGGGUAAAGAAGCACCGGCUAACUACGUG
rnacentral:rRNA from 1 species